rnacentral:lncRNA from 1 species
CAAUUUCAUUUUCACUUCCCCACGUCGCGGCUGCGGGGAGCAACAAGCGGCAGCGCGUGUGAGCGUGGGGAUCGCGCCGAAGGGCGCGCGCUUUUCACCGGGGCCACGCUGGGACUGUGGGGCACCAGAAGUGGUGGACGGGGCGCUGGCUUGGGAGCUGGCCACCAGCUGGUGGUGGCCGUAGGGAAGGAAGGAGAUGACCUGACUCUACAUCCUACCUGAAGGGUGGAGAUGGACCAGAGAGAGCCCCGGAAGCCUGGGGACCCUUCCCGACCUGUGGCUUAAGUGCUCAGAACCGCUGUGCACAGGCUGCAUAUACAAACUCAUCUUGGAAAGUCGCCCGCUGCAAAGGAAGGCAUGUGGAUUCUGUGUGUGCCUGGAGGUCAAAAGAAGACGCAGAUCUCCUGGAACUGAACUGUGGAUGGCGGUCUAGAGCAAUCCAGACUGGCCUUGAAUUCACUAUGUAGCUGAGGUUCAUCUCCAACUUUUUAUCUUCCUGCCUCCACCUCCAGAGUUCUGGGGUUUUGGGUGCCUGCCUCCACGGCCUGUCAGACUUCCCUCUUCUUAACAAAGAGGUUUACUUCUUACCUGUUUAAUCCUGCUCUGGGCUGGGAAGACAGUCUGUUGAUGGAAAGGACGGAGAGAAGAUAACGGUUGCUAUUACCAUCUGCCAGUCACACUCCAAGUUCAGAUCAUUGGAGAUGAGAAAGAAAACAGCCAGCCAUGUUCAAGCCACCAUACGAUAGAAGAGAGAAGGAAGUGUUUGGACCAAGCAGCCCAAGCCUAUGCCAUGGGCACUGAUGAUGGAGACACAUGGGGUGGGUGGGCCUGAUUAAAUUCACACUGUGUGCCCAGCCAUGUCAGGGUCACCAACUUAAUGGACCCAUCAUUAGACAGGAUAUUCUCUACUUAUCUCCAUUUUAUUUGUCGUCACGUCUUCCCUUGACUUCUCAGUGAUGUGAAGCUGGUUGAAUUAUGGCCUUGUGCUUCACAGGACAUACGACCAAUGCUGGCACCCUUCCAUGAGACGACCUUAUAAUGGCUAUUUCUUCCAGACUGAGAGCCUGGAGGACUCUUGCCACUCACUCUGUUAUCUCUCCCAGCAUUUACCUCUGAUCACAUAAAUGCUUCUUCCUGUGUAGAUACUUUCGUUUAUUGUUAACUUAAGCAUGGUCCACAUUGAAGGUAAGAGAAAAUUAAAAUUUUAUACAAACACAGUGUGAACACCUCGGUGGCACCAUGCAUAAAACCCAAAGGAGAUACUUUGAAAUGUCAAACACUUUCGAUUUGAAUACAUUAUUUAUAUCUUUCUUUCUGGCCCUGUUGCCAAAGUCACAACAAGAAAUGCAAACACCUCGAUUUUUUCAGAGAAGUUGCAGGUAUUUCCUGGAUGGUUCCAACUGCCAAUAAAAAAGAAAGAAGAAAAAAAGCAGCUUGUGGGUAAGAGAGAACAGCAGCUCCUUUCAAGAAAAACUCUGUGGAAGAGAGCAAAAGAAGAAACCAGAGUUUGAUGAGAUGUGACUGAACCAAGUGACGCUUAAAACCAGUUCCA